ACCGCGAGGUGAAAACACUGGCGAACAAAUGAAGCUGGAAUUAUCUGUUUACUUACCAGUUUCAACAUCGAGGAGAUAAUACCGUAACCUGCAGAAGUGUCUCCCCGCUGUUGGGCGAGAUGAAGCUCGGCGCCGGGGUCAGUAUCAUGGCUUUAUACCACUCUGCUUGCAAACCAUCGAUUAUUAUAAAUGUUCGUACAAUAGACUGCCCAUACAUGUAAUUCUCAUUUAAUUGUUUCAUGAGACAAGGGUCCAGCCAGCGGUGCUGCUGCGAACUACGUAAGUAUCUUCUCAAAUCAAUCAUAUAAUCUGGUAAAUGUCAUUUUCCUCAUGCAUAAAUAUCUAUUAUUGCAUGCGUUCGGAGCGGAGUCCCGAUCUGUACACGAAACUCGCUCCCGUUUUUAUUCAUACAGAUGCCGGCUUCUCCACCAUCACUGCACUGAUGUCACGACAUCACUCUACAAGGUACAACUCCAGCACGGAGGUAUUUCUCAUGUGGCGGUACCCUAUACCCUGCUUUUGCAUCACAACAUUACACUACUUAUUAUACAUAUAAAAUAAGGGGGGGGGGCCGCGGCCAGCCAGGAGUACCACUUACCUGGCUGCAAGUCUUCCCCCUUAUGGAGGAACACUACGACCCGUUCCUCCCAGCGAGAACCCCCCGACACUAAACAUCAUGCGCAUGGAACUAUAAGUAUCAAUUCACUUGGGCUCGUCGUCUCGGAAGUCAUCACUAUUUGCCAGUUUGUACCAACAUUGCACAGCCAACCAUCACUCAGAAGCAGUUUGGCUUACAUAGGAGUACCGACAAUGCAAGCAAGAUUUUUCUCGGCACUCCUGCAAAGAAAUCGGCAUAUGUCACCGCACCUGCGUCCUGCCACACAAAUCUGAAAAGUAGAAUGAAUGCGCAAAGAUCUUAUUUAUUGGCAACACAAUAUUCUGGAAACUAGCUUAUUGCCGAUCAUCAAUUGUCGGGGGGAAAGGGGGCCGCGGCAGCCAGGCAGACCACCCGCCUGGCUGAAGAUUUACCCCAUCAUGGAGGAACACUGCCACACGUUCCUCCGCACAGUUUCACCGCAUCGUCUCGAAUACGCAGCAGAAGAUUACGCCACAACUAUUUUACCUAUUACUACUAAAAUAGUAUAUUCUGCUUCCUGCGUUCCAAGCUUGGUGGAGCUUGACGAUUACUUCACAGCGUCAUAACCAUGGACAGACAUCAUGGACUGCGACUAGACGAGGGGCAGCAACUGUAGCAGCUUCAGUAUCCAGCGAUCGCUGGCUACCAAGAGGGUCGCGCGGUGACGGUGAGCAGUCACAACUUGUUGCUUGGAGAAGGAUUAGACAGAAGAAUUCUUCUCAUCACUAGUCUGCAAGCAGCGAUCGCCGGAUAUGCAACAUAAAGAAGAGACGUCAGAGCUGCGGUGCAGAGACUAUUUGGAAGAGAGACAGAACCGAAGAAGACGCUCUUCGGCGGGCUUACAUUGUAGAUUUAAGGCGUCCUUUUGUAAAACACCUAAUGUACCUAAUAUAAGUGUUGUAAGCUACCAUUUACAACACUGAUAUGACAUGCGUUGAAUUAGUAUUAAGGUAUUUUUGUAAUAUUCGACAUAAGGUCAACAUUUUUAUUCCGAGUUACAAGUCUCUCGUUGGUCGGUUCACUUAUUUUUUUCAAAUUGUUAUCGGAUUUCUCUAUUCACAUUUACGACAAUUAUUGGCAUAACACUGAGAAGGAAGGGGCAUGCAUGAGGUGCUUAGCUCUGUGUUUCCUCUGGUACCGAUGUGUUCCAUAAUACUUUAUUCUACAUGCUCCUCUUCAGGAGCUUACCUGAAGAGGAGAAUGUAGUAUUCUGUUUGCAGCAUUAGUUUCUACUAUCUAAACUACGUGUUCGGUGAUCGUACUCGGAUGAGACCAAUUAGCUGUGUGCGGUCCCACAUCUCACCAGAGUCUGCGUCUGCAGCGGUAAAUGGAAACUUCAGCUCGGACCUCAAGAGCACCUCGCCGGCGCUCUCGGCGGCGACUCUUCACGACUAGCGCAGAUCUUCCAGGUCCUAUCAAACACAAAGUGACAAGCGUCGAUGAAGGCGGUAGUACUGCGGCGGCGGUCUUCGCAGAACAGCUGGCGACGAGCUGGUGGUCGCGUCUGUGUCCUGGAGUCAGCCACACACGUGGCACACGUGGCACGCCAGGAUCACUGACGUCACGUAGCGGCGCGUGAUGCAUCAGGCACGCGUCCGCGUGGUCGGAGGCCAGCUCGCCAGGACACCCGCGUGGGUGAGGGGCGCCAACCGUUGCGCUACCCAAAUGUACGGAGUGAGCGCCCACACCUCAUGCGAUGGGGCCGCAGAAUUGUAAUAAUUAUAGAUAUCCAUAUGAGUUUAGGUUCGCGGAAAAAUUACAAUCGCAAAAUAUACAAGUUGUUUGUCUCUAUUUACUGCGAAAAUUCCUACAUUUUGUAUUGUAUUUUGAAAUGGAUCCUAAUUGUUGUACGUAUUUUCUAUGUUUUUCUUACAGUUUUAUAUAAAAUGUAAACAACAUAACCUUAAUGUGCAAUAAAAUUUUAAAUUAUGUGUGUUUUAUUACAUUUAGUUACGGCAGUAUUUAUCUUUAAAUUUGUUUCAUAUACCGUGUUAAUAUGUAUUUAUUAUAUUUGUAAUAAAUAGUAUUUGCCAUUAUUUCGUUUCCCUUA
rnacentral:lncRNA from 1 species